rnacentral:lncRNA from 1 species
CUGGGGAAUGUUUGUGAUGUUUGAGUUCAAAACAAAUUUGAAGUCCACAUGCCCAACCAUACAAGCUUUUGGAAGAACCAGCUCAAAGACAUGUUCAUCCCAGCUGUUGCUGUCUGUCUGUAGCUUCCAAGUUCGAGUGUGCUGAGCUGCAUCUCCAUGGUGCUGCUGGUGCAAAUGCUGAGGAUGCCUCCUUUGCUGCUGUUCUUGCUGGACUUCUACCCAACAGGGAGGGACAGUGGCUGAAAAUCGUGGUGUCAAGGUCUCAAAACGGGUCAGUUCUACCAGAGAUGUCAGUGUUUCAAGGGAAAAUGGCUGGUCCACCAAAAGAUCAACUCCUGUAAUGCCUGGGCUAGAAGGGUUAGAUAAUGGCUUGAUGCCUUCUGAUGACUGCUCUACACUUUUGGAGAGGGAUCCAUCUACAAGUAUAUCAGUUUCAUCUAUGUCAUCACACGUUCCUCCAAUCUGAAGGAAAUGAAGUUCUCCACCUUUGGUGCAUGCACAUAAUCUGUCUGUGCCCGAACAGUAUAUCACCGAGACAAACAUAUCUGGUUCCUCAGUGCCCUCUUUUUUAGGUGGCUCCACUUUGGCCAGAAUUUCAAAGUUCGAAAGAUCUAGUAUUUUUACAUAUCCUCCCUGAGUAGUUAUUACCAGGUGCCCAAGAGUAGAGAUCUCAGAUCUUCUCUCUCUCCCACUGCCAUUUUUAGAAGUCAAUUGCAUUUCCUCUACAGGUUCUUCACAGUCAUCCUCUCGAUUAUCCAAUAUAUCUGGUGGGAGUAAAAUCAUUGAGGUAAUUGUGUCUUGGGGGUCUUUGAUAUGCUGGAUUUUUACCGGUUCCUCCUCUAAAGUAACUAUUCUAGUGGCAUAAUUCAUUUUAUAAAGCACUAGGUAUCCACCACUAACACUUCUCUGUUCAGGCUGAAUUAUUAAAGGAGUUGUUACAUCUGCUGGUGGCUCAUGUUGGAUUACAUCGAUACUUGUGCCAUUCACUACAGCAAGACUUGAUUCUAUUUCACCCUUCCUUCUAUUACAUAGUGCUGAGUUUAAUUUAUUUAAAUUAUUCAAGGCCUCUACUUGAUUUAUUGCACUCAGAGAUUCGACAGGACAAGUCCGAAGUCCUACUAAUAAAUGAACUCCAUCUGCACAAGGAGUGAUUGAAUCUACACACAGGUUCUCC